rnacentral:misc_RNA from 1 species
GAUGAAGAACGUAGCGAAAUGCGAUAACUAGUGUGAAUUGCAGAAUUCAGUGAACCAUCGAGUCUUUGAACGCACAUUGCGCCCCCUGGUAUUCCGGGGGGCAUGCGUGUCCGAGCGUCAUUGCUGCCCUCAAGCACGGCUUGUGUGUUGGGCCUCCGUCCUCCUCCCGGGGGACGGGCCCGAAAGGCAGCGGCGGCACCGCGUCCGGUCCUCGAGCGUAUGGGGCUUCGUCACCCGCUCUUGUAGGCCCGGCCGGCGCUUGCCGACACAUCAAUCUUUUUUCCAGGUUGACCUCGGAUCAGGUAGGGAUACCCGCUGAACUUAAGCAUAUCAAUAAGCGGAGGA